AUAUAUUUAAAUAUUUUUGAAAAAAUAUAACAUUACUAUACAUGAUUUAGGGCAGGGAGCAUGGGUUCACAUGCCCCAUGGAACCCCCUAGAUACGUCUCUGCGAAUAAUACAUUAUUUUUUUUACCAUCCGUUAUCCGAAACCUACUAACCCCACUAAUCAAGAUUCGCACCGAAUAAGGGCAUUAAGGGGAUAAAGCAUCCCUGCCGAAAGAUUCUCUAUUUCUAGAGACUUCAACCUGCAACCUCUGGUUAAAGUUAAAGAGAUCUAAAUCAUAUCCUACCACAACAUCAGCCGUAAAAGAAUUAGAAUUAGACUCCACUCAAGUAGUAUAAUAGACACUUGUGGUCCGGCCCUUACCUAGACGCACAGGUAGCAGCUUAGUGCACCGAAAUGACUUUUUUUUUCUUCUUUUAUUAUGAUUGGGGUUCGUUGAGCGCUGCUGAAGGAAAAAACAACCACUAUAAAUAAUUUUCUCCUUUACCUCACAUAUAUGGUGAAAAUGUUCUUAAAAAAAGUAGCAAAGAAUAAACUGAAAAUAAAGAAAAGCAGAUAGCAUGGAACUCUAUGAUAGAAAAGUCAUGAACAUGAUAUGAAAAGGAAAAAAAAUGUUUCACCACCUCAUAAUUGAGCUUAAAACAUCAAAAAUAUAAAUAAUAUAUGGUUCAAGAAAAAUAUAGGAAUGCAACGUUACCAGUAGAAGAGAAAGAAGAUAAGUAACCAACUUUGAGAACUUGUGCCAAACUUCCACAACUGCAGCUUCCUCUAUGCAAAUGUUUUGUUGGAAUUUCCUAUUAAAAUUAAUAGUGGCAUUUCAAGAUUGUCUGUCUGAUACAAAUUAAAAAGAUGGAUCCUUUAUAAGUUUCAACUAUUUAAGUUCUCUCAGAAAAUACCAAAUGUGGAGAAAAACUCAAAACAAAUCAUUGGUUUUUCCUCUUUCUCCCCAAACAAUGUUAAUCAAAGGCCAGCAAACAGUCCUAAAAGAGGACCUCUUUUUUCCUUUAACAAUAAAGAACAAGGUAAAAAUGAAACAAAAAAAAGAGUAUACUAGGACUAGUAGUGUACUAUAUCAACCCCACAACCACCCUCAAAAACUACAAAGAAAAAAAAAAGAGAGUAAAAAGACAAUGCAAAAAGUAAGAUGUUUUGCUUGCAUGAGGAAGAAAAGCAAGAUUUUUACUCAGAACUCAACACCCAAGAAAAGCUCAGAAAAUUCAGAAUCCCUCAGACCCCAUGAAGAAUCAUGAUCUUAACACACACACACACACAAAAAAAACUGUUUUUUAUAUCAUAAAAAGAGUCUCUUUUUUGGGUUAUUAUCCACAGGUUUGGACCCAAUGGAUAUUC
rnacentral:lncRNA from 1 species